GCAGGCCCAUAAUCUAGGGUAUCAACCAAACAAAAAAAGAAAAAGUUUUGGACCUGGGACCUAAGCCCAGGCACUGUAACGGUGUUCAGAGGGGGGGGGGGGGUGCGGUGGAGUCAUGGCAGGUGCAAGGAGCCAAGCCCGCUUGGAUGCCCAACCCAGUUCAGGCCACAAACAAACAAAAAGGGAAAAACUCAAGCCUAAGGCUAAACGACGCUUCAUCUUAGUAGGCGAAAAUGCAAACGACCAAAGUCACCAUCGGAAACGCGUCGUAUUCAUCAAUCCUUCGCAUCAGCAUCACGUUCAUCAACUCAAUGGCAUCGUGUUUCAAGGAGUUUCAUGGAUCGCGCUUCAGAUUUUGCGUCACGUUUUAAGGAGUUUCACAGAUUGAGCUUCAGAUUCCGCGCCACGUUUGCGUUCAAGCAUGGCGUCUUAGUUCAUCGGCAUCGCGCUUCAAUCCUCUUCAUUCAUGGAGUCGCAUUUGAACUCAACAACAUCAACUUCGCGUUUGCGCAUCAAGAAAUUAGCUCGAACGAUUCAAACACAAAUAAAUGCGGAUUGAAGCGAGAGAGAGAAGACUUACCGGUUUUAACGCGGUGACAUAACUAAUUGAUGAGAUGAAUCUUGAAGAGUUGUUAAUUAGAAUGGUUUUGUGCAGGGUGGUUUUGGGUCUGCUUGUGAAUGCAUACGCGCUUGGAAUGUCUUGAAGAAUGGAAUGGAUAGGUUUGCUUGUGGAGCUUGCUUACAUUUUGGAAAGCUAAUGGAUUAACAUUAUGUAGGAAUUGUAGUAGUGUAAUAAUUUGUGCAUUGUAACUUGUAAAUUGAAAAUAUGCAUUAUAACUAGAAUGAAAACAUGGUUUGAAACACAUGAAUGGAAAUUGAAUGGAUGAUGCAUAACAUUGAAUGUAAUAGAAAAUCGAUUGAAAGCUCUUGAAUAUAUAUGAAUGAGCAUUUGAAUAUGAUUUGUAAAUUGCAUUGAAUAAUAAGUUGAAAACGUGGAUUGUUUGAA